UACGAGGGGGGCAAGCGUUGUUCGGAAUUAUUGGGCGUAAAGGGCGCGUAGGCGGUGCGGUAAGUCACCUGUGAAAACUCUGGGCUCAACUCAGAGCCUGCAGGCGAAACUGCCGUGCCUGAGUGUGGGAGAGGUGCGUGGAAUUCCCGGUGUAGCGGUGAAAUGCGUAGAGAUAUGGAGGAACACCAGUGGCGAAGGCGCUCUGCUGGGCCGAAACUGACACUGAGAGACGAAAGCUGGGGGAGCAAAUAGG
rnacentral:rRNA from 1 species